GAAACUGAGAAAAUGAUGUCCAAAGGAGGAGGAGAGUCCCCAGCGCAGUGUGCUGGAGAAAGGUAAGAUUUUAACCCCUUCCUCAGCCUGGCGGGAGGGGGGCCAUGAGGGUGGGGGCACCCUCAUGGCACUAUAGUGCCAGGAAAACGAGUUUGUUUCCUGGCACUAUAGUGGUCCUUUAAGCUCUGUUGGUGAUACCCGCCCCGCAGUCCUUGAGCAGAUGUCUAUACUUUUCCUUAUUAGCUGUAUUUUCAUUAUUUUUUUGAAUGAUAUUCAGUGGAAAGGAGUAGUUUUGGUGCCAUAUCUUGAUAGCUGAUACAAAUAUAUAUAAUACAUUUAAAUACAUAUAAAUAAACAUUCCAUAAGAUAAAAAAAAUCCUCAAAGACAUAAUGAAUAAGAGGCAAAAGGGCUUUAAAAAGUUAAUA